GCGUGGUGGACGGCUCGGUUCC
rnacentral:rRNA from 1 species